rnacentral:rRNA from 1 species
UACGUAGGGUGCGAGCGUUGUCCGGAAUUAUUGGGCGUAAAGGGCUCGUAGGCGGUUUGUCGCGUCGGGAGUGAAAACCUCGGGCUUAACUCGGGGCUUGCUUUCGAUACGGGCAGACUAGAGGUAUGCAGGGGAGAACGGAAUUCCUGGUGUAGCGGUGAAAUGCGCAGAUAUCAGGAGGAACACCGGUGGCGAAGGCGGUUCUCUGGGCCGAUACUGACGCUGAGGAGCGAAAGCGUGGGGAGCGAACAGG